UACAGGGGGUGCAAACGUUGCUCGGAAUUAUCGGGCGUAAAGAGCGUGUAGGCGGCUUUACAGGUCCGUUGUGAAAACUCGAGGCUCAACCUCGAGACGCCGGUGGAAACCGUAAAGCUAGAGUCCGGAAGAGGAGAGUGGAAUUCCUGGUGUAGCGGUGGAAUGCGCAGAUAUCAGGAGGAACACCAACGGCGAAGGCAGCCCGCUGGGACGGUACUGACGCUAAGGCGCGAAAGCGUGGGGAGCGAACAGG
rnacentral:rRNA from 1 species